GUCUCAUACACAGGAAAUAGAAUCUUCUCUCCCCAAACAAGACAAGACACAGCGACUACGUACAAGGGCGACAACUAGUGGCGAUUACUGCUCCAACAUUUGUAAUCGGUACAAUAUCUGAAUCGCUUCGAUCGUCGACCGAACAUUUGAAGUCGUCAUUCCCCAAUUCUCCAUUGAAGAGAGGACUAUAAUCUAUAACUACAUAACCAUGCCUGCUUAUGGAUGCUCAAUUGAGAAGUCUUAUGAUGUAUAGAUAA
rnacentral:lncRNA from 1 species